rnacentral:rRNA from 35 species
GGUUAAGCGACUAAGCGUACACGGUGGAUGCCCUGGCAGUCAGAGGCGAUGAAGGGCGUGCUAAUCUGCGAUAAGCGCCGGUAAGGUGAUAUGAACCGUUAUAAC